rnacentral:ncRNA from 1 species
UUAGUUUGAUUCUAACUAAAAGAUUAGUACUACUUAAAAAUUUUAUGCUAGUUAUUCGUAAAACAUAUACAUACAUAUUAUUAUUAAAUAUUUAAAUAUAAAAAUAUUUUAAAUAGCAGGAAUUAAGAUUAUAAUAAUACGCCAAAGCGUGAAAUGGUUUAAACAUUAUUAUUGGUUAAAUUCGUGCCAGCAACAGCGGUUAUACGAUAGAUAUCUAACAAACAAAAUCUGUAUAGGUAAAAUAUACAUUAAUUAAAGGUAAAAUUUCUUUGAUCAGUAAAGUAUUAAUAUUACCAAAAAUAAGCUAUAAACUAAAACAAGGAUUAGAUACCCUUUUAUUAUUAGUCUAAAAUAAGAUUGGAGACUACGAGCAAUAGCUUAAAAACCUAAGAAUUUGGCGGUGUUUUAUUCAAUCAGGGGGACCUGUAUCUCAAAUCGAUAGUCCACGUUAAACUCCACCUAAUUUUAAUACUUAUAGUUUGUGUACUGCCGUUUAAUAAGCCCUCAAGGCUUAUUUAUAAAUAAUAAGAUUAUAUUACAAGUCAGGUCAAAGUGCAGCUUACAAUUAGGUAAGAUAUGGGUAGUAUGUUUAAAAAUAUUAUAAAUUUAUAAAUUAAUUUUAUAGAAUUUUAGGACUUGAUAGUAAUUAUAAAUUUAUUUUUAUUAUAAUGAAUAUGAACUUAAAGCGAGUACACAUCGCCCGUCACUCCUUAAUAUAGGAUAAGUCGUAACAUAGUAGAUGUAAUGGAAAUUGUAUCUGU